GUAGAUUUUCCUUCAAUGAUUA
rnacentral:miRNA from 1 species